UUAAUUGAAGAGUUUGAUCAUGGCUCAGAUUGAACGCUGGCGGCAGGCCUAACACAUGCAAGUCGAACGGUAACAGGGAGCAGCUUGCUGCUCUGCUGACGAGUGGCGGACGGGUGAGUAAUGUCUGGGAAACUGCCUGAUGGAGGGGGAUAACUACUGGAAACGGUAGCUAAUACCGCAUAA
rnacentral:rRNA from 1 species